ensembl:lncRNA
CCUGUGCUGCCGUGACUGUGCCCGUCACACCAAGUGACAGCCGGCGGGGAAGUGUCAGUGUGACUUCACCCGGCAGAGGCUGCCUGCUUUAUUUAGCAACGCCGCUUCAUUCCUCCCCCGGUGUGUCUCCGGCACACGCACAUCCUUCCAGGACCUACUCGUGGCUGCACCUGAUGAGCUCGAAGGCCUUUUCCAGCCUCAGUGAUUCCACUCUUGCACUUGGGGUCUUCAACACUUUCAGCCUUUGCCUUCCCCCGCAGGGCUUACCUGGUGUCAUCUGUAUGGUGCCGUAGCUCCAGGUGACACCUGGAUUCAGCUCAUCCCUGGGAGGGCUGCAGCAGGUUGGAGUCCUGAGAGGAAGGAUGAGUCAUCCCCACUGGAAUAUAUUUCGGGGAGAAGCGGCGGUGAAAGGCAAAUGGAAAAGCAGACGCCUGGCAGCACCGCAGCGGGCACGGUUAUAGCCAGGACCCCCAGUGUCCCUCUGAGUGCCACCUCCGUAAGGACACUGAGCUCAGGGACACGGUAGCGCCGCCGGCCCCCUGUGGAGGUGAGGCUUCCCCGUGCCUCGCAGAAGGCAAUGCCCUUUCCUUGGCCUUUUACUUCGUCCCUACAAAUGCCACCAACACCCCGGGCUGCCAAAGGCUGCAAAGGGCCAUCUCACGGCUCCUGUACCCAGGGGCACAUCCAUGUCCGAGCUGCCGGGCUCCCCCAACCUCCAUCCA